AUUGAACGCUGGCGGCAGGCCUAACACAUGCCAGUCGAGCGGAUGAAGGGAGCUUGCUCCUGGAUUCAGCGGCGGACGGGUGAGUAAUGCCUAGGAAUCUGCCUGGUAGUGGGGGAUAACGUCCGGAAACGGGCGCUAAUACCGCAUACGUCCUGAGGGAGAAAGUGGGGGAUCUUCGGACCUCACGCUAUCAGAUGAGCCUAGGUCGGAUUAGCUAGUUGGUGGGGUAAAGGCCUACCAAGGCGACGAUCCGUAACUGGUCUGAGAGUAUGAUCAGUCACACUGGAACUGAGACACGGUCCAGACUCCUACGGGAGGCAGCAGUGGGGAAUAUUGGACAAUGGGCGAAAGCCUGAUCCAGCCAUGCCGCGUGUGAAGAAGGUCUUCGGAUUGUAAAGCACUUUAAGUUGGGAGGAAGGGCAGUAAGUUAAUACCUUGCUGUUUUGACGUUACCAACAGAAUAAGCACCGGCUAACUUCGUG
rnacentral:rRNA from 1 species